CGGCGUGCCUAAUACAUGCAAGUUGAACGACAACAAAGACACCAGAGCUUGCUCUACCGUUUUUGUUGAGUAGCGAACGGGUGAGUAACGCGUGGGUAACCUGCCUUAUAGCGGGGGAUAACUAUUGGAAACGAUAGCUAAUACCGCAUAACAAUAGAGAUUGCAUAAUCUUUAUUUGAAAGUGCCAACUGGUACACUAUGAGAUGGACCCGCGUUGUAUUAGCUAGUUGGUAGUGUAAUGGACUACCAAGGCGAUGAUACAUAGCCGACCUGAGAGGGUGAUCGGCCACAUUGGGACUGAGACACGGCCCAAACUCCUACGGGAGGCAGCAGUAGGGAAUCUUCGGCAAUGGACGAAAGUCUGACCGAGCAACGCCGCGUGAGUGAAGAAGGUUUUCGGAUCGUAAAACUCUGUUGUUAGAGAAGAAUGUUGAUUAGAGUGGAAAAUUAAUCAAGUGACGGUAUCUAACCAGAAAGGGACGGCUAACUACGUG
rnacentral:rRNA from 1 species